rnacentral:rRNA from 1 species
AUUGAACGCUGGCGGCAUGCCUUACACAUGCAAGUCGAACGGUAACGGGCCUUCGGGUGCCGACGAGUGGCGAACGGGUGAGUAAUACAUCGGAACGUGCCCGAUCGUGGGGGAUAACGUGGCGAAAGCUUUGCUAAUACCGCAUACGAUCUACGGAUGAAAGCAGGGGACCGCAAGGCCUUGCGCGGACGGAGCGGCCGAUGGCAGAUUAGGUAGUUGGUGGGAUAAAAGCUUACCAAGCCGACGAUCUGUAGCUGGUCUGAGAGGAUGAUCAGCCACACUGGGACUGAGACACGGCCCAGACUCCUACGGGAGGCAGCAGUGGGGAAUUUUGGACAAUGGGCGCAAGCCUGAUCCAGCCAUGCCGCGUGCAGGAUGAAGGCCUUCGGGUUGUAAACUGCUUUUGUACGGAACGAAAAGCCUUCUUUUAAUACAGGAGGGUCAUGACGGUACCGGAAGAAUAAGCACCGGCUAACUACGUG